rnacentral:rRNA from 1 species
AUACGGAGGGUCCGAGCGUUAUCCGGAUUUAUUGGGUUUAAAGGGAGCGUAGGCGGAAGUUCAAGUCAGUUGUGAAAGUCUGUGGCUUAACCAUAGAAUUGCAGUUGAAACUGAAUUUCUUGAGUGUAGAUAAGGAUGGUGGAAUUUGUGGUGUAGCGGUGAAAUGCAUAGAUAUCACGAAGAACUCCAAUUGCGAAGGCAGCCAUCCGGGCUACAACUGACGCUGAGGCUCGAAAGUGCGGGAAUC